GUGAAGAAAGACAUAAUGGUUAUGACGUUGGCUUGAAACCAAUUUUAGGGGGUUCGAUUCCUUCCUUUCUUGUUUAUU
rnacentral:tRNA from 1 species